rnacentral:rRNA from 1 species
AGCAGCCGCGGUAAUUCCAGCUCCAAUAGCGUAUAUUAAAGUUGUUGCAGUUAAAAAGCUCGUAGUUGAAUUUCGGGGUUAGUAGGUUGGUCAUGCCUCUGGUAUGUACUGGUCUCACUGAUUCCUCCUUCCUGAUGAGCCGUAAUGCCAUUAAUUUGGUGUUGCGGGGAAUUUGGACUGUUACUUUGAAAAAUUAGAGUGUUUAAAGCAAGCUAACGCUUGAAUACAUUAGCAUGGAAUAAUGAAAUAGGACGUUCGAUCCUAUUUUGUUGGUUUCUAGGAUUGACGUAAUGAUUAAUAGGGAUAGUUGGGGCAUUAGUAUUCAAUUGUCAGAGGUGAAAUUCUUGGAUUUAUUGAAGACUAACUACUGCGAAAGCAUUUGCCAAGG